GUGGAUUAGAUACCCUGGUAGUCCACGCCCUAAACGAUGUCAACUAGGUGUUGGGUGGGUAAAACCAUUUAGUACCGGAGCUAACGCGUGAAGUUGACCGCCUGGGGAGUACGGCCGCAAGGUUAAAACUCAAAGGAAUUGACGGGGACCCGCACAAGCGGUGGAUGAUGUGGAUUAAUUCGACGCAACGCGAAAAACCUUACCUACCCUUGACAUGUCAGGAACUUUCCAGAGAUGGAUUGGUGCCCGAAAGGGAGCCUGAACACAGGUGCUGCACGGCCGUCGCCAACU
rnacentral:rRNA from 1 species